rnacentral:rRNA from 1 species
AGGGUUUGAUCAUGGCUCAGAACGUACGCUGGCGGCACGCCUUAUACAUGCAAGUCGAACGAAGUAGCAAUACUUAGUGGCGGACGGGUGAGUAACAUGUAGGUAUCUUCCCUUUGGUGAGGAAUAACACGAGGAAACUUGUGCUAAUACCUCAUAAGUCUUUACGGAGAAAGCUUUAUGCGCCGAAGGAUGAGCCUGCACUUGAUUAGUUUGUUGGUGGGGUAAUGGCCUACCAAGACUUUGAUCAAUAGCUGAUCUGAGAGGAUGAUCAGCCACAUUGGGACUGAGACACGGCCCAAACUCCUACGGGAGGCAGCAGUAGGGAAUAUUGCACAAUGGAGGAAACUCUGAUGCAGCGAUGCCGCGUGAGUGAAGAAGGCCUUUGGGUUGUAAAGCUCUUUCGUCGGGGAAGAAAAUGACUGUACCCGAAUAAGAAGGUCCGGCUAACUUCGUGCCAGCAGCCGCGGUAAUAC